rnacentral:rRNA from 1 species
AUUGCCCUAGUAACGGCGAGUGAAGCGGCAACAGCUCAAAUUUGAAAUCUGGCUUCGGCCCGAGUUGUAAUUUGUAGAGGAAGCUUUUGGUGAGGCACCUUCUGAGUCCCCUGGAACGGGGCGCCAUAGAGGGUGAGAGCCCCGUAUAGUCGGAUGCCGAUCCAAUGUAAAGCUCCUUCGACGAGUCGAGUAGUUUGGGAAUGCUGCUCAAAAUGGGAGGUAAAUUUCUUCUAAAGCUAAAUACCGGCCAGAGACCGAUAGCGCACAAGUAGAGUGAUCGAAAGAUGAAAAGCACUUUGAAAAGAGGGUUAAAUAGCACGUGAAAUUGUUGAAAGGGAAGCGUUUGUGACCAGACUUGCGCCGUUCCGAUCAUCCGGUGUUCUCACCGGUGCACUCGGGACGGCUCAGGCCAGCAUCGGUUUUGGCGGGGGGAUAAAGGUCCGGGGAACGUAGCUCCUCCGGGAGUGUUAUAGCCUCGGGCGUAAUGCCCUCGCCGGGACCGAGGUUCGCGCAUCUGCAAGGAUGCUGGCGUAAUGGUCAUCAACGACCCGUCUUGAAACACGGACCAAGGAGUCAAGGUUUUGCGCGAGUGUUUGGGUGUAAAACCCGCACGCGUAAUGAAAGUGAACGUAGGUGAGAGCUUCGGCGCAUCAUCGACCGAUCCUGAUGUAUUCGGAUGGAUUUGAGUAAGAGCGUUAAGCCUUGGACCCGAAAGAUGGUGAACUAUGCUUGGAUAGGGUGAAGCCAGAGGAAACUCUGGUGGAGGCUCGCAGCGGUUCUGACGUGCAAAUCGAUCGUCAAAUCUGAGCAUGGGGGCGAAAGACUA